rnacentral:lncRNA from 1 species
CGCGAUGACAUCACGUUGUGAUGCAAUGGUCCCGUAUUGUGAUACAAUGGUGCCGCGUCGUGAAAUAACGGUGCCAUGUUGCGAUACAGCGAUGUCAUAUCACGAUACAACGGUGCCAUGUCGCAACACAACGCUGUCAUGUCGCCAAUCAACGAUGUCACGUUGUGAUACAGUGGUGCCGUGUCGCGAUACACUGGUGCCACAUCAUGAUUCGCUGGUGCCAUGUCACGAUACACCGGUGCCAUGUCACAAUACAAUGGUGCCAUGUCGCGGUACCAUAGUGCCACGUUGCGAUACAACGACACCAUGUCGCAAUACAACGACACCAUGUCACGAUACACCGGUGCCAUGUCACGAUACCAUGGUGCCGUGUCGCAAUACAACGGUGCCACGUUGCGAUACAGGGGCGCCAUGUCGCGAUACACCAGUGCCAUGUCGCAACACAACGCUGUCACGUCGCAAUACAAUGACGCCAUGUUGUGAUACAGCGGUGCCAUGUCACGAUACCAUGGUGCCAUGUCACAAUACAACGGUGCCAUGUCACGAUACACGGGUGCCAUGUCAUGAUACACUGGUUCCACGUCGCGAUACACCGGUGCCAUGUUGCGACACAACGACAUCAUGUCGCGAUACAACGACAUCAUGUCGCGAUACAACGACAUCAUGUCGCAAUGCAACGGUGCCAUGUCACGAUACACCGGUGCCACGUCGUGAUACACCGGUGCCACAUUGCGAUACACGGGUGCCAUGUCGCGAUACAAUGGUGUCGUGUCAUGAUACACGGGUGCCAUGUCGCGAUACACCGGUGCCAUGUUGCGACACGAUGACAUCAUGUUGCGAUACGACAUCAUGUCGCGAUACAAUGGCGUCAUGUCGCAAUAUAAUGACAUCAUGUCGCGAUACAACGACAUCAUGUCGCGAUACAAUGGCAUCACGUCGCAAUACAAUGACAUCACGUCGCGAUACAAUGGUGUCGCGUCGUGAUUCGCGCAGGGCGACGUGGAGGAGGACGAGGCGGUGCCCGACAGCGAGCAGGACAUCAAACC